GUUGCCUGUGAGGAGGACUCACUGUUGCUUGUCUCUGGGAUUGUAGAGGCCCUUUGCCAAGAGGCCUCUCUCUCUGACUCCUGGGUGACUGGGCAGAUGACUAUGGGAGUUCCAUUUUGCUCAUUAUAGGACGGAUACUCAAUGUAGGGCCUCAAUAAGCCUUCAAACCGACAUGUCAGGGUAUAAAUAAGGGACUGGUCAUUUAUGUUGAAGAAGGAGAUGGUCCCACACUCAUAGUCCAGGAAGACCCCUAUUUUUGUAGGUGGGGUCCUGGGGAAGACGCUGAUAAAACGGGGAUUUAAUGUGAAAUACAAAUGUUCUCCAUUCAGUCUGAGGACCCAGUACCCAUGAUCGGGAGACAAAGUCACGUACUCCUUCCUCCUGUCCACAUCAUCCCGGCACACUCCCACGCGCCACCUUUUAUUGUGUCCUCCGUCCACCUCCCAGUAAUGUUUCCCUGCUUGGAAACUCUGAGAAGCCACCACACUCUUCCUUGUAAAUCGCUUCUCAGAGUGAGGCACAUCCUGGGGAGCUUUUCUCUCGGUUACAGUUUUCAGAUUAGAAACGCAGAGCUGCGGGUGAGCCGUCUCUGGAUCCAGAGUCACCUCCACUGGGGUGCGGUCGGGGAGAGAGGAAGCAUGAGUUACUGAAGAGGAAAUCUGGGCUGGAACAAGAGGUCGACCCUCCCACUGCAGACUGGCUCUGGGUGGCAUAGGCGUUGGUACCUGCGUGUUUCCGGGCGUCUCUCAAUUCUGAAAGCAAGCAGAGAGAGCAGGCAGUUCAGUGCUCACGUGGGAAACGGCGCAGGGAGAAGGGAGAGACCAAGGAUUGGGACCCUUUUUGAGUGUCAUGGACCCUCUCAAGAGAUCUGAAGAAGGCUAUGGGGCUUCUCUACAAAACGCACCUCCCCCAGAAUCUGCAACUUCUGAGUUCCCAUCACAAGCUUGGCUCUGCAGGGACCCACGGGCCUCAGGAUAUAAAAAUCCAUAAACGAGAGACUUGGAAAGGAGUCAUAAAUGUGUGAAGAGGAA
rnacentral:lncRNA from 1 species